rnacentral:rRNA from 1 species
GACGAACGCUGGCGGCGUGCCUAAUACAUGCAAGUAGAACGCUGAAGGAGGAGCUUGCUCUUCUGGAUGAGUUGCGAACGGGUGAGUAACGCGUAGGUAACCUGCCUGGUAGCGGGGGAUAACUAUUGGAAACGAUAGCUAAUACCGCAUAAUAGUAGAUGUUGCAUGAUAUUUACUUAAAAGUUGCAAUUGCCCCACUACCAGAUGGACCUGCGUUGUAUUAGCUAGUUGGUGGGGUAACGGCUCACCAAAGCGACGAUACAUAGCCGAGCUGAGGAGGUGAUCGGCCACACUGGGAAUGAGACACGGCCCAGACUCCUACGGGGGGCAGCAGGAGGGAAACUUCGGCAAUGGACGAAAGGCUGACCGAGCAACGCCGCGGGGGGGGAGAAGGGUUUCGGAUCGGAAAGCUCUGUUGUAAGAGAAGAACGAGUGUGAGAGUGGAAAGUUCACACUGUGACGGUAUCUUAACAGAAAGGGACGGCUAACUACGUG